rnacentral:rRNA from 1 species
GUGCACCAGUCGAGAAUCUUCCGCAAUGGGCGAAAGCCUGACGGAACGACGCCGCGUGACCGAAGACGCCCUUCGGGGUGUAAAGGUCUUUUCUAGGGGACCAAUAUCCCGAUUUAUCGGGGUGAGUGUACCCUAGGAAUAAGGGGCCGCCAAACUCGUGCCAGCAGCGGCGGUAAGACGAGUGCCCCAAGCGUUAUCCGGAAUUACUGGGCGUAGAGCGUCUGUAGGGGGUUUGAUAAGUCUCCUGUCAAAUUCCGAUGCUCAACAUCGGAACCGCAGGAGAAACUAUCAAACUAGAGGGUGCGAGAGGCUGAUGGAACUCAGGGAGUAGGGGUGAAAUCCGUUGAUA